rnacentral:ribozyme from 2 species
UCUGUAAUGAUGCCGAUGGCGGUUGCAAGCCCGCAGGAAGAAACUCAGAGCACAGA